rnacentral:lncRNA from 1 species
GAUUUCUUGAGGGGCCCAAAGAAAUUUGAAAAAAGAAACCUCCAUGUUUAGCAGCUAUUGAUUUAUUUUGGUUCUGGUUGGCAGAUUUUUAUAUAAAAACAAAGAACAAAGUAGUUCUCCAGGGCUGGCCUGAGCUAACUGCAUUAGAACCUGCUCCACCAUGGUCAACACAUCACUCAAGUUUGAGAAAGGUCAAGUCACACUUUCAAAGUGAAGGUUGACAAUUCCAGAAACUGCAAUGAGUAAACACCUGGCCCAGGGGAUCAGAGAUCUUUACCACUGGCAAGAGAUCUCUAGGCUGCAUCCCAACCUUCCGUUGUCCACAUGACACUAGUGCUGGAAACUCAAUCACCAGGUGCAGGAAGCUUCCAGACAGACUGUUGUGAUUCUGCUUCUUGGUUUUCCAACACCUGUUCCUUCAUCUGAGCCCCUCAGAAGGUCUGACCUCCUCAUGGUGCCCAGUCUAGGCUGGCACUGUUAUAAUUCAUCUCUGACCCCUGAGACAUUCACCACAUGCUGGCAUAUGGAGACUGGCUAUCUGGAAUGAGAAAUUUGUCACAGUGACCACAGCAAUUAAAUCUGACUUCAAACUGAACUAGACACAAGUCAGCUGACCUAGAAAGAUAAG